AUUGAACGCUGGCGGCAGGCCUAACACAUGCAAGUCGAGCGAGCGGCGGACGGGUGAGUAAUGUCUGGGAAACUGCCUGAUGGAGGGGGAUAACUACUGGAAACGGUAGCUAAUACCGCAUACCAUCAGAUGUGCCCCGAUGGGGUUAGAUAGUAGGUUGGGUAACGGCUCACCUAGGCGACGAUCCCUAGGUGGUCUGAGAGGAUGACCAGCCCACCUGGAAACGGGACACGGUCCAAGAUCCUACGGGGGGGAACAGUGGGGAAUAUUGGACAAUGGGGGGAAGCCUGAUGCAGCCCAGCCGGGUGUGUGAAGAAGGCCUUCGGGUUGUAAAGCACUUUCAGCGGGGAAGCGUUACCCGCAGAAGAAGCACCGGCUAACUCCGUGCCAGCAGCCCCGGUAAUAC
rnacentral:rRNA from 1 species